rnacentral:rRNA from 1 species
AGUCGAGCGAACGGACGAGAAGCUUGCUUCUCUGAUGUUAGCGGCGGACGGGUGAGUAACACGUGGAUAACCUACCUAUAAGACUGGGAUAACUUCGGGAAACCGGAGCCAAUACCGGAUAAUAUUUUGAACCGCAUGGUUCAAAAGUGAAAGACGGUCUUGCUGUCACUUAUAGAUGGAUCCGCGCUGCAUUAGCUAGUUGGUAAGGUAACGGCUUACCAAGGCAACGAUGCAUAGCCGACCUGAGAGGGUGAUCGGCCACACUGGAACUGAGACACGGUCCAGACUCCUACGGGAGGCAGCAGUAGGGAAUCUUCCGCAAUGGGCGAAAGCCUGACGGAGCAAUGCCGCGUGAGUGAUGAAGGUCUUCGGAUCGUAAAACUCUGUUAUUAGGGAAGAACAUAUGUGUAAGUAACUGUGCACAUCUUGACGGUACCUAAUCAGAAAGCCACGGCUAACUACGUGCCAGCAGCCGCGGUAAUACGUAGGUGGCAAGCGUUAUCCGGAAUUAUUGGGCGUAAAGCGCGUGUAGGCGGUUUUUUAAGUCUGAUGUGAAAGCCCACGGCUCAACCGUGGAGGGUCAUUGGAAACUGGAAAACUUGAGUGCAGAAGAGGAAAGUGGAAUUCCAUGUGUAGCGGUGAAAUGCGCAGAGAUAUGGAGGAACACCAGUGGCGAAGGCGACUUUCUGGUCUGUAACU